ensembl:lncRNA
AUCUCAGCUCACUGCAAGCUCCGCCUCCUGGGUUCACGCCAUUCUCCUGCCUCAGCCUCCAGAGUAGCUGGGACUACAGGCGCCCGCCACCUCGCCCGGCUAGUUUUUUGUAUUUCUUAGUAGAGAUGGGGUUUCACCGUGUUAGCCAGGAUGGUCUCGAUCUCCUGACCUCGUGAUCCACCCGUCUCGGCCUCCCAAAGUGCUGGGAUUACAGGCUUGAGCCACCGUGCCCGGCCCUACCUCCUGGGUUCAAGCAAUUCUCCUGCAUCAACCUUCUAAACAGCUGGGAUUACAGACAUGCACCACUAGGUCCAUCUAAAUUUUGUGGUUUUUUUGGUAGAGACAGGGUUUCACCAUGUUGGCCAGACUGGUCUCAAACUCCUGACCUCAAGUGAUCUGCCCGCCUUGGCCUCCCAACAUGCUGGGAUUAUAGGUGUGAGCCACUGUCCUGGCCUUUUUUUUUUGAGUCAGAAUUUUUCUCUGCCAUCCAGGCUGUGAUGUGAAACCACCUUUGCAAAAUUAUGACAGUAAAAAAAGUCUGCCACAGCUGACUCCAUCUUGCUUCUAAGUGCUAAGCUGUCUUCCCUUGUCCCUGGGUGUAGGCCAAGCUAACCUUGGGAGGAAUUUAGUUUAUAGUUCAACUUGAAAGCGAGGAUGAUGAUAGUCCCUCCCUAAAACUAAAUCACUCCUUGCCCAGGGACUCAAAACUGCCUUUGUAAGACUAAGGAAAUUCCACAAGAUUAGGCUUGUGGGAGGGACCUGAAUUCUGCUAAAAUGUACAUAUAGUUUCUAUAAUCUCUUGCUGUUCAAGAGUCACAUGGCCAGAGGUCAGGAUCUGUGAUUUCCCAGAUUGGUCCUAUAGAUAACAGCACUCUUACAGAACCUAAGGUUGGCCUUUGAGAUUUUUUCAGAUUUCUGGCAAUGGACUGAGCCCAUCCAGACCCAUGACUCGUGAGUCAGUCCGUCCUGGGGCCUCACCCAGAGGUGGGCUCAGUGCAUGAAGAGUGUUUUCCACACCCCUGUGAUUUCAUCCCCAGCCAAUCAGCAGCACGCAUUCCCCAGGCGCCUGCCCACCAGGUUGUCCAUAAAAACCCUAGGCUCUGAAUUCUUGGGGAGACUGACUUGAGUAGGAACUCCGUCUCCCAUAUGGCCAGCCUCACAUCAAUUAAACUCUUUCUUUACUGCAAUGCUGUGGUCUCAGUGAAUUUAUUUUGUCUGUGCAGCAGCUAGGAAGAACCCAUUAGACAAGUACAAUCAUAUUCUCUUCCUCUGCAGAAGGAAGCUAGCUCUACAUGAAUAAGGACCUAGUUUUUAUAGUCCAGAGUUUGGUUGAGCAUGGCGCAGGUGCACUGGAGACCCAUCUGUUACCCUCAUACCUGAGGCUGGGUGAGCCCCCAAUGCAGGAGGUGGAGAGUGAAGGGUUGAGCAGGGAGGGUCAAGAGGUGAACACCCAAGUGUACCAAAUUUCUCUUCUCACCACUUAGGAAGGAGUUUGGGAAGCUAAACCAAAGGCUGUGAGUGUGAAUGAAAUCUCACUUGCCUUUACUAAACUUAGGUAACUUGUCUGUGUGUGUGAUUCCUCUGGCUUUACCAAUGAGCAGACGUGAGAGGCAGAAUGGCAGGGCAGGAGAGUUGUUUGCACUGGACGGAAAGGCCCGGGA